UACGUAGGGGGCAAGCGUUGUCCGGAAUCAUUGGGCGUAAAGCGCGUGUAGGCGGCCAGGUAAGUCCGUUCUGAAAAGCCCGGGGCUCAACCCCGGGAGGCGGAUGGAUACUGCUUGCUCGAGUCCGGAAGAGGCGAGUGGAAUUCCCGGUGUAGCGGUGAAAAUGCGCAGAGUAUCAGGAGGAACACCGGUGGCGAAGGCGGGUCUCUGGGCCGAUACUGACGUGAGGAGCGAAAGCGUGGGGAGCGAACGGG
rnacentral:rRNA from 1 species